AAUCUUUUUUGGAAACUGCUUGCUGAUCUCAAUUGUUUUGGACAUACUGCAUACAACCGGAAAAUGCUUUCAUUCAGCAAAUAAAAUUCAAAUUAGCUAGGUUUUCUGAAAGAACUUAACAUGUGCCUUUUUAGUAAAUAUGUGGGGAAACAAAUGCAGAACAGGGAGAAUCAUGAAGGAGGGAAAACAGUUGUUGCUUAUGAAUUUCUUGGCAUCCUGCUCUUGGCAGACUUGCAGUUAUUUUAUAUCUGAAUUUCCCUUGUUCCUGGCUUCACUUACUGGUAUUCAAGUUGCAGACAGAAAUGGAAAUGGGAGAAUGUGAUUUCCAACCGACAACAAUCAUGGCAGGUACGGUAUUCAUAAUAAACUCCGUCUCCUGAAAACGAUAUUGCCAAAUUCAUGUCAGGGGUAAGCAGAUAAAGACUGGGCAGAGUCUGGGUAAAUUUGUUCAUGCACUGGUAAAGCUGGGAUGCAGCUGACUCCCUACCAUUUUGCAUGAAUUUGUUCCUGCCAUUUGGUGGACUUUUUCAAAAUGUGGAGUGUAGGAACAGCGAUCCUGACCAUACAUGGGCCCGUCUGGCUGUGUGUGCACUCCCUGCCAGUGGCUACAUCAUUUGGGGCAAAUACAGUGUCAUCCUUCCCCUGCCGUUUCCUCCCAGUGAUCUGAAGGCUAUGGGCUUCCUGAGCCUGAGAUUGCAUUUACAUUUUUCUCUUUAAUGGUUUGGUAUGCCUUUUGAUUUUUAGACAAGGUGUACAUUUAACAUGCUAGUGAGUGUCACCGUGUAAGUACACCCUCAAAAAUGUCAUUCCUCUUAUUUUGCUUCUACAUCUUCUGCCUGACCAAUUCUUCUGAUACCUUUAAGUGUUUGCAUUAUGUAAAAGGAAGAUUAACAGGUUUCUUGUUCACGUUUGCUGUUUUGUCUCUCUUCACUUUACCUCCUAAAUUCAGCUGUAUAUCCAUUUUCAGAUAUGGUGAUCAGAACUUCAUGCCUUGUUUAAGAUGUGUAUUCACAUACUGUUAAAGAAUGCUUUCUGGUUUAUUCUUUAUUCCUGAUCUUGUUUAACUUUCUGUUCAUUGUUUUGACCACCACUGAGCACAGAGCUGUUUCCAAAAACCUAUCCACUCUGGGUAUGUAUUUUUUUUUUCCUUAGUGAUACACAGCAAGUUUGGAGAUCAUUAGUGUGUAUGGUUAAUUAAGAUUGUUCUUCCUUGUAUGCAACACUGUCUUCAGCAACAUUGAAUUUAAUCUGCCUAUUUUACCAUCCAGCUGUUUAGUGUCGUUCUGCAAUUCUUCAUAGUCCAUUUUAUCUUUUUACUGUGCUGAAUCAGCAAUCUUUAUCCUAUAGUUCACUUUCUUUUCCAGAUAAUUGAUGAGCAUGUUGAACACAGAGAUGUCUCCUCUUUCAUCUGUAAAGGAACGCGUGUGGCAACUUCCUUUAUGGCCCGUAUGGUUGCAGCUGGAACGAGUGAAAAUUUUACAGAGCAAUUGAAACAAGCAGAUGAGCAAAUGCUGGAAAAUCAGUCUGGGCGGCGUUAAACUCUGAGCUUCUGGCAGGAUCUGCAUCACACAGUUAUUAGGAUUAAGUCCUGUCUGUUACCAGCAACACAUGUUCAACAGGCUCCGGUCGGGCUGUCACGGUGAGUGCUGAAGGGACGCCUGUGUGCCUCGCUCCUCAGAGCAAUGGCUGGAACCCUGGCACACUGGCCUGCUGGAGGGACAGCUGCCUUCUGGAAAGGGUGUUCACAGGUCGGGGGCGUUGCGGGGGUUCUUUUGGCCUCAUUUUCUGUUUAUGCUUCAGGUGGGUGCUGGAACGCACCAGGGAGUUUGCAGGAUUGAUGUCACGGCAUCUGUCGGCUCCCUUGGGUGUAGCCAGCAUGGUGCGACAUGGCGGCGCAGUCAGGGCUGGGGCGUCCUGCCCCCCUCUGCGGUGGGUGGUGACAGCUGGCGGGCAGCCCCUGCCACCAGCCCACCACCCUGCGGGGAGGAGAGAGAGGGGGAAGCACUGCUGGGCACCAGGGAGCCUGGCGGCGCUGCAGUUUUCUGGCCCGAAACCUGGCAGGGAGCUGCUGGCUCCUUGUAGGGAACGUCUGUAUGCAGGAGCUCGUCUGUCUGCAUUCGGGGCAAAGAAACUGAGUUGCUAAGAGCAGGCGGUGGAAAAAGCGGGUCUGCCCUACCUGAGGGCGGGGUAUCAAACCACAGUGUGCCAAUGAUAGCUGGUGGCUAUAGGCGUGGUGCCGUGCGGUGUACAUUUUGCACAGGAAUAUGCUGCAUGCAAACUGAUGCCAGGGAAGAGAUGAAGUGUCUUGUGCUAACAGCUUGAAACUGUGCAGCUUAGGAAAACAUUGGAAAAGGCUUUUCAGGUGAUUCAGUGACUCUUGGCUGUCUAAAUUUUGCACAGGCGCUUUGCCCCCCAGGCAAGAGGUGGCUCCUCUCUAAGGGGGGCCCUUAGGCCUCCCACAGCUGCCAGGCUUCAGCGUGGGUGCAGCUGGGCUGACACCCUGGCUACGGGGACACUGGUGUUCCCGCAGCCUGACCAAGAGGCCAUAGUCAUGGCCAGGAAUUUGCCAAGGUUUCUAAAAAGGCUGCAGGAUGCUAGCUGUUUCUUUGCACCUUUUCUGUUUUUUUAUGCAUGGAAAAUUCAGUGACUAGUAAUGAAAAUAAGAAGUGGAAUAAUCCAUGGAAAGCGAUCUGACUGUACCUUGCUGCCCAUCCUUACUCAGCUGAGGAAUCACAAUUCAGAGCAAGCAAGACCUUCUGAGAUGAUCUCUGUGUUUCUGAUAUGAAAUCUUUACUACGUCGAUGGGCUAAGACUGAGAAAUCCUGCAGUUUCUUCAGAGAGCAGGGUCACUGGAUGUUUCUGCUUAGCUCUAUUGGUUGUCCCUGAACAAUCAAUGUCACCACUGUCACUUGGGCUGCCCAAUUCCAGCCACACUCCAACCACACCUCUAGGGUCUCUUUGGCUCAGUCCUAACCGUAACCCUAACCCUACUUUCUGGCUCAGGCUAGGACUAAGACCCCACCUCUGACACACACCACAAAUAUCCUUUCAGCACCACUGUGACAAGGACAUCCAAUUUAUCAUCUGACAAUUGAGGUAAAUCAUUGAGGGAUACCAAAGAAAACAAGCUACACUUGAAAGCUGAUUGAAAAAGAAUAGCACAAAUAGACUGGUUAUCCCUGAGCCUGGCUUGUGAGGAUCGAAAGUGGGAAUGGCUCCUGCUUGAGUGUGUUAGGAGAUCCCGUGAUGAUGUUACAGAAGCCCUACAGGAUCGUGAAUAGCCUGGGGAAGUCAGAGACUGUUCCACAUCUUUUCCUUGAACUAUCAAAUGAAACUAGCAGGGACCAAGUUGAAAACAAAGAAGAGAUGAGUCUUGACUUAACGGAUGGCUUUGCCUUCUUGCUCACAUGAUAUGUAUUGGUGCAAAAAUUUUACACAGGUUGAACGAGAGCAUGGACAAGUGCUUCAGGAAGUAAUUAGGGAAGUCCACUGUACAACCACAUCUAGAUUAGGAAAUUUUCUAGCUUCAUGUAAUGGGAGGAGUUUAUUGAGAGAGUAUUAGGAGAAACGCCAUCUAUGUUGGUGCACAUUUCUCCCCUGGCAUCUGCUUAUGGCUGCUGUUGGAGACAAUGUAUUAUAUGGGCUCUUGGUCUGACCCUGUGUAGCUGCUUUUAUGUUCUUUCCAUUUGUGGUGUACACUUGCCGUGUUGUGUGUAGGAAAUUUAUUGUGACAUUACUUUCUCACAAUUAACAAUGCUGCUUUGACUGAUUAUUUCAGAAGGGAGAUGCUGCUAAGGCUAAGGCAUAACUGCGGAUAGUGCCGUAAGACUGUGUCAGUUGAUGCUCACCACUGAGCGGUUGCCAGACACUCAGUUUUAUCGUGAGUAUUCCUAACACAGAAAAAGUGCUGCAGUGUGGUCCACUGAUUCCUGUGUGUUUGAACUUAAGAAUAAAUAAAUUCAUUUGAAUUAAAAAAAAGAAGAGGAUCAUAGUUAUGUCCAUUCAAAAACUACUAUAAUUUAUAUAGCUCUUUUUAUUUAUUCAUACAUCUUGAUGCUUCUGAUAGUAAUUGGCAUGUUGUUUUGAAACCCGUAUGUGUGAGCAUUAUGUGCUACAGUGGGCUGUCACAAAGCUUCAUCUACAAUAUGGACUAUGAAGGCACAAAAAUUACAGCUUACAUUUCUGCAGAAUAAACUUUGACAGUGGAUGUUAGAAUGAGAUACUCUCUGCCCAGGUUCUUUUAGAUAUUCUGCACAAGGAGAGCUUUAUAUCAAAUCUACUUAUUAUCAAAUUUUAUAUUUUACUGAAUUUACUUAAUGUCAAAUUACUUAUUUGGUUUAUUUGGUGUUAUAUGGGAUUUUAGUUUAGCAAAGCGAUAACAACAAUGUACUGAGAUCACAAGAGAAAUAUAAUAUAGCAAUUGCAAUAUACUGUUGAAUCACAAUAGAAAUGUGAUUCCCAUUGCCAGUGUCUAUAUGCUCACUGUCACCGCACUGGGAGUCCCUAGACACCAGAGUGGUAUACACGGGUUGAAGCCAUCUCAAAUCAUUGUUCUUUUCAAAAUUUGCUUUAUUAUUUGUCUUGGUUUUAUACUUUAGGUUGGGCUGAACCACGUACACACUCCCUGCCCCACACUGGACUGGCUGGCUGAGAAAUUCGUUCCUCUUUGUUAAUUGUCUCAGGGAACCUAAUGACUCACCGGUGCAGUUGCCUUAUCUAAAACCCAGGUUGCUCUCCAGUCUCCCUGGUGGUGAGAUAAGUUUAGCCUUCUUUAUGACACAUUAUUCCCUCAGUUAGUUCUUUGUUGAGUUCUAGUGGGGAGGGGCUUAUUUGUUCUUGGCUUUUCCCGUUCUCCUCUGAGCUCUCCCGUUCUGUGGGGGUUGGUCACAGUGGGCCAGCUGAAUGUUGAAGGAAAAGACCUUCAAUUCCUUUUCCAAAAAGCAGUUUAAAAGUGUAGUUCUUAUUAGUAUAUUUUUAAUAUUAGAAAAACAUAUUAGAAUUAAGCUUUUUGCUCUAUUAUUUUAAUAAUAGCACAGUACAUACAAUUCAGCUGUUGCAUUGUGCUAGUUCUUUCAAGUGCACUAGAGCCUUCAAUCUUGUUGGGCACUAGAGGUCUCUUAUUUACUCUUUUUCAAAACACUAUCAGUUCAUUUGUAUUCUGAAUACAGUCCCCACCACGUUGCACUUGCUUGCUACUAUAUUAUUAUUAGAGGUACAUCAUGUACCACAGACCAAAAAUUACUAUCACAAAUUAAAAGUCCUAGUUAUUGAAUAUUGCUCUUUCAUAUACAAGCAGUGGUACAGCUUUGCUAGCAAGAACAAAACAUAAAAAUCUUCUAUUUUUCUUUAGGAAGAAAAAAAGCUAUGGAACAAAGCAGCUUUUUGUUAUUUAUUACGCCUUAGGGAAGAGGAGUCUAAAGUUCUUUUCUUUAACUGGCAGAACAGCGCUGAACAUUUGAGCCUGGAUAGACCCUUUUAGGUAAUUGAGUAUGUAAGUACUCUUUCUGGUACAUUGAUAGCAAAAAAUAAUUGAAGAAGUCAUAAUAAAAACAUAUAUUUUGUCUUAUAAAUAUGACUCCAUUUAAUCUGGGUUUAUGAAAGAUCUAGGGAGUUCAAAAUAUGGCAAUACAAAGGAGAAAUACACACUUGCAAUAAAUCCUUGAGCAUUUUGAGGUAUACGUUUGCUAUGACUUUUAUGAUGCACUUGACAUUUUCCUUCUGCCCAGCAACAGUUUGUUACAGCCUUUACCACAAGAAAGACUGUCAGUGGGAGGUUAUCAGAUGCUAUAAGUGUUACUGCUGGAAGAUGUCAUCUGCAGGUAUUGCUUACAUUUCUUCCCUUUAUCUAUGUUUUCCCCCUCUGCUCACCCUGUGGGAAGACAGAAAAUGGAUUAAAAUUGAUUGAGCUAAUGAGUUUUGGCAAAAAUGCUGUAAUAUACGUUUCCCAUAAAACCACAAAUGAAAUACAUGCUGGCUACAGCCUAAUCAGGGAAUCUGAAGAUAGAAAUGCUCAGAUGCGAUAUCCUUCCUUGAUUAUCACAGGAGAAAAAUCUUCCAUCUCAUCUGUGGCACCUUUUAUUGUGAAACAUAAGAACUUUUUACAAACAUGAAUGACUGAAGCAGUGAAGUUUAAAUGGUCACUUUGGACUGACUAUUCAUCUUUUCUAGAGGAAGCAUCUGAGGCACCCAAACCCCAUACCCCUUGCGCCGAUGCAGGGAGCUUUUGGCAAGGGUAGAGUUAUGAUCUAGGUCUGUUGUCACCCAGAGCUAACAUUCCUUGUUCCCAGUUAACGUGGGUUAUUGUCUUUAAAGCUUGGACUGAUUCACUGGGCAUCUGUGCUGAAAACCUCUUUAAGUUCAGUGCCCAGCAGCAUCCCAGCCCACUCAAGAGUGCAACCUUCAGCCUUGAAGGAGCUUCUAAGACCCAGCUGAGCAAAGCCCCAAGCAUCCUGGUGUGAGCAAGGCAGAGCUGGCCUUGAUUUGGGUGGGAAGUAGGACCAGAGCCCUCCCAGUUUUCCCUGCCACCCAAAUUAUCCAUGUUGCUCUGAGAGCUUUGCUGAGCUUCGGAGACGGCAGUGAAGGCCAUCCCUCUGCCUGCCAGCAGUGGGUGCAGAGCUGGCUGGGUGCCAUGGGCACGAGGUAUCAGUCCCUGCUUUCCUGUCUGCACUGCUGCUUUUCUCUCUGGCUGCCUGAUUUGGAGGCAAGGUAAAAAAAAACCAUGAUGGUGUGACUGCUAAAGCAUCUUGUCUCAGGUGCAGUUGUCCUACAAUGGAUGGAUGUCAAGGGCAGAGCAACCUGGGCUGAUAUUUCAGCAUUGAGCUACAUCUACAUUCUGUCCUUCUUUACUGGUCUGUAAAAGACUAAUAAAUUAUACUUGCUUACUUUAGGAAUGAAGAGUUAUUAUUAAAUUGCUGUAUAAUGUAUUUUUAAUGUGUUAUUUAAAAAGAAGGGCAGAGAUGAGCUCAGAAUUAAUGUAGGGUAGGAAUGUUUUUUCCAUCCUACAAAUAUUUGUGUUUCUGGCUGGUUUUGCCCUUCUACAUUAGAGCUAGCUGAAAUUAAAAAAACGAAAGAGAGUUAUCAGCCUCAGCAUCCCCUGAGCCUGGGGCUUGCCAUCUCUGGAGGUGCCGUCUCAAAUCUUGCUGAGAAGGAACCCCUGCAGGAAGCCCAGCGCUGAAGACACCAGGCUAAUUGCACGUGGACCAUAGGUUUAUGCCACCCAAAUACCCCACUGGUGCAGGGGCUCCAGACCACAGCCCAUUCAUGGGUGGGGGCUGAGCUACCCCAGCAAUAAGACCUUGCUGACUGUGUGACAGGAGUCCUGUGCAGCAGCUUUAUCCCAGCCAGUACCUGAGAAUGAUUUUGAAUGUGAACUUGAGUUGCAUGCCCUUGGGUGAUGCUCAGCACUUCCCUCCAGGCUACUGGCAACUUUGCCAUAGAGCUUCAUCUCCCUUUUGGGGCAGAAAUGGCUUGAUGGACAAGGAAGCCCAUCCUGCAGCAUUUGGAAGAAAAUAAAGUGUGAGAACUUCAGUGGAAAGACCAAUAUUGAUUAGAUAUAUUCACUUUAUCUUCUAAAAUUACAGAUGCUACAAAUCUCUGUCUGGUACCACUAACAAAAGAUGACUGAUCACUUAGCUGAGACUGUUCCCUGAGAUGCUGACAUGGUUUGCUACUUGUAAUACUUAGAGAGCUAACUUCAGAGGCUUGUAUUUUUGACUCGCUGAAUUUGUAGCUGCAUUACAAGGCUCUUCACGUUUUUCCAGUUAAACUAAAUGACUAUUAUUUCCUCCUUCUGCUCCCUCCCCCACCCUCCUGUUGUUGUUUAAUUAACCAUAACGUGCUGCUCUUCAGUGGGUGUUUGUUUAUAGCUAGAUAAAUGUCAGUAAUAUGCCGUGGUGUAAAGUCCUUUGACUGGGAAUAGUCAGGUUCUUUUAACUACUACUGCUACUACUACUACAUUUUUAAAUAGGAAAAGCUGUCUUAAAAUCUAUUUUUCUGGUGACUUUUCUUAAUAUUUUAAUUAUUAUUUUACAAGAAAUGUGUAGUUCAAUUUGGAAGUAAAGCAUUAAUCCCAAACUGAAACCAUGUGAUGGGAAAAGAAGAUUAUGUGAAUUUCUUAUAAUAUUUUAUCAAGAGGUUUAGUUCCCUAGACGUUCAGAUCACAUCUCAGCUUUUUAUUUUUCAUCUUUUCCUUUCUUCUUAAGCCUCUGAGAAAACAUAAGGAAAAUAAGUUCAUGACCAGCAAAAUACAAGCAACACGGAUGUAGAGUGAUCACUUUGAUUUCUGAUGCCUGUGUUCAGUUUUUCCAAGUUAGGAUCAGCCCUGGUGUGACCACCAGUGGAGGGGAGCUGGCUCCAACAAGGACAAGGCCCACAGAGACACGGGGCUGGGGAGGUCUCUGCCCAAGCCUGGCAGUGAUGCUGCCCCCCAUGACAGCUGUGCACCGAGACCAUUGCCUGGAUGGGGCUGGAGCUGGAAGCAUCUCAGAUCCUGCAGUGCAUUGGCGGGGCUGGUAGGACAAGUCAUGGAUGAAACAUGUCUAAGUAUUGGGCUUUGCCAUGUUUUGUUUUUGGGGGUUUUUUUUGCCAACUUCUUAAAAAACUGAGUUUUCAAGGGUGGGUUUGUUCCCCUUCAGGAAUGAAGGCAAUGGCUAUGUCUGCUUGUAAGCUUGCAGUCUGUCUACUUGAUUUUUUUUAUCAUCUGACUUGCCUUGGCAGGACUGAAGAGCUGAGGAAUAUGGGCACCAAAAUCAAUUUGUCUGAACAAGACAUCUCUAAUUGUGCUGUAACGCUUAUCCAGGCUCAUUCUCUGUCAUGAAAACAUGAAACACAAGCCUUGCUGAAUGGCCACAGUGCAGCACCCCUGUAGCUGUCACCGAGCUGUAUGGUGCUACAGACCAGACUGCUGGGGAGCUGGCUCAGGGACCUCCGGGUGCUGUGCUGAAGUACAGACUCUAGAACAGCUUCUGUGUUCCUAAAUGACUGCUAUAUUUUGUGGAUAUUUUGUAGUUUACUUCAACACAGUACUGUUCUACUAACUUUAGACUGUAUCUGGAAGGUUUAUUGCCUGCACUGUUUUACUUGGGACCCUAUGCUGAGAUUGGUAUCUAUGGGGUUUUUUUGGUAAGAGACUUCCAGUCCCCAUUUUAUCCCCAGAAGCCGUAGACACUCACUGUGGGGGAGAAAUUCCUUUUCUUAAAGACAUAAAAUUUAAAUGGGGGGAAAGCACAAAGAACACUAAAAUCAGAUGAUCAUUGCCAUCAGAUGUCGCAGGAAGAAGCCGCGACUUGCCCAGUGUCACUCGGAAAGCAUGUGGUAGAGCUUGCUGUUGAAGCCAAACCUCAUGUGCUUUUCACAAUAUCCUUUUUCUUGUCUGUCUUUGCCUUUUUUUUUUUUUUUUUUUUUUUUUUUAGUUUGUGUGUGUUUGUUUUGUUUUGUUUGUAUGGUGGUAAUGUGCAUGUUGUGACCCUGGAGGUAUUUAUGAUUUAUCUUGUAACAGUAUAGAGCCUGUACAAGCUAUUACCUGUACACAUAUUUAUUUUUAUCAGUUGUGAAAAGUUUAUUGUGUCUCACAUGACACUUAUAAUAGCUGCUGAGAAAGAUCAUAGACCUAAAACUGCAUGAAAGGUAGAAGAGCAAGUGGUAUACAUACAUGGGCAUACAUUACACAAGGAUUCCCACUGGGAGAUAAACUAUGUUUUUGACUGGUUAUUUCUAUUGAAGCAAACUAUCCUCAGGCCAGGGAGAGCUGUUUUUCCCACACCAUCAUUUUUUUUUUUUAUUGCAUGAAAAAGGUCUUUUUGAGAGAAACAAAGUAUCAGCUCUAGUCAUCAAGAUUUUUGCACCAUGAGUAUGCAUACACAUAGGUGUGUUCAUGGCCAGUGUACUCCUUCUCCAGAGUCAGGCUGUGUUUAUUCAUCAGCAUGUGUGUAAACACCACCGAACAACACGGGACACAAUCUGGCUUUGCAGCAGUAUGGCUAUGCUGGCCCUUCCUGGGCGUGCUGACUUGGUGAUGUCCCCAUUGCCCUGGACGUCCACACACGUUUCAGGAGUAGGAAAUCCUGAUGUGCACGUCUAGGGGUGUCCUAGAGAUGCCCCUGCCUGCGCCCACCUUGGAGUGAGGGUGAGAGGUGUGUAAGCAGCUGCCCUGUGGUGCUGGUGCCAACAGAGCCCUCCAGCUACUGCAGCUGCCCCAGGGCUCAGGAGCUGCAGAUGUUGCUGGAAGCUUUGUGGACAGCAUCACCUCUGGGUGCUCUUCUUAAUGACAGAAUAGUAGGACAAUCUAUAGCAAUUUCCUCAAAUAAUGUAUAUUGGUAUGACAUUUAAUUUGGCAGCUCUGCAUGUGGCUUUCACGAGCUCUCCUACUCUCUUGUCUCCACUGUGUUUUCUGAUGGAAUUUUUUUUUUCUUGUCCAUGACACUUAGCGAGCAUGUUAAAACUCAAUUUUCCCCAAGAUUUUAGAACGGCUUCUCCCAGGGCCAGAUCCUGAGCUCCCUCCCAGUUUUGUUGCUUUUACGAAGAUUUUUCUUUUGCUAGCUAUUGGCAGAGCAGAAGCCAAUGAAUCUUUAGACUGUGUCAGGUACCAUAUGCACUAUUUUCUUGCAAAAAGAGCUCUCCGUAUUUAUGAGAUGAAAUGCUACUCCUAUUGUUGUUCAUAGACAUAAAGCUACAAGGAAGGUGGGGAAGAGGAGGGAUGCUGAAAACAUGGGGGAAAACCAGUUCAAGGAAAGUAAUCAACUUUCUAUAGUCCCGAGGUCUCCACAAAAAUAUCAAAUUAAAUGUUAAGAUUGUCAGUUGGUAUCUUCCUGUUUUUAAAAAUGUAGGUUGGAGCUUGCCCAGGCAUGGAGCUAUAUAGUGUGAAUCUGGGCUCUGUCACCCACAGGUAGCAGCACAAAAGCCACUCAUGUUGGAGUAGAGGGGUGAGCUGCACUGAGGGGGAGCUUUUCUGGGAAGAAAUACACUUUGCAAAGUAAGCUAAACCAGCACGCAACAGCCUCUCUCCAAGACCCCUGGGCUGUUCUGUAGUCUUUGGUAGGCAGAGUCUGUGCUCAAGUCAGACACAGAAAAAUGUUGUCAUCUUUGCUGGAUGGCAAAUGAUGAUAAUUUUUUUGUAUGGGGUUUUGGGGUUGGGCAAAGGCAUUUUACAUCACCUUUGUCAUAUAAAAUUUUACGUUGCCCUUUGCAUAUGUGUGAAGCAAAAUAUUUUGUGCUCCUUUACAAAAGUCAAUGCAGCUGCCUUUCUUAAAUCACUUCAAAAACAAAGCAAAAACUAAUUUGGAAGGAGCCUAGAUGUCUUUACUUUCUGAAAUUCCCUUCCUUAUCUUUACCAAAGUUAGAGAAAAAAAUAUUUGAACCCAAAGUGCAUUUUUGAUGACCAGGUUCUAAACAGGAAAGCGGAGAGUGAUCCACUAAAGGGAUUCAGAUGGUAGCGUGUGGAGUGUCGUAUGAAUAAUGUUGACAAGUGGGUCUUAAAUAGAGGCAUUAUAUUGCAAUAUUUGAAGCAGAGUUUCAGUUCACUAUGUGAUCAAAUCUGUCUUUUCCUAGCAUCUUUGUACUCCUAAACAGGAGACAUCCCCCAAAUGGUGAAGUGUUCUCCCAAGUGUUGCUCAAUUUUAACAUAAAAGACUCCCUGUUAAUAUUUUGGGAGAAGGGGAGAAGAGUUCAUGUUGUUCUGGUUAUUAUGAGCUAAGAACAUUAGCCAGGUGGGGCUUGGGAACAGAGGUAAUGUCUUUUAUUAGACAAACUGUUACAGCUGGGAAAAGUAAAAAUGUUUUCUGACACACAUGGUGUCCUUUGCUGAAAUGAAAACAGCCAGUUUCAAAGUGAAAUACAAACUGGGAAGAAUUGCUCUGAGUUUAACUUGCCCUGCUGGUGGUUAGGCUGUUUGACACAGAGGGUAAGAAGUAAGGAGAAAGGGACGAUUUUAGUGCCAGGAAAGGCGGCUAAGGAAAGAGGAGGAGGAGGAGGAAGGAGUUAUCACUUGUAGAGCAUGGAGGGGCUGAGGUCUGACAGUGCUGAGGUGUAAUAAUCUGAAAUCACAAGGUAGAACUGCCUCUAAAGGAACCAAGUCCUUUUGUCUUACAAGAAACUACUGAAUCUCAUAGUUAUUUAGUUUGAUUUUUAAAAACAGGUUCGGAUUUCUUUUUCUUCUAUUUUCUGCCUUCCCUCAUCAUUCUCUUCACCUUUGUCAUACCUUUCAACUACAGAAAGAUGAAUGAUGCCUACCUAUUCUCCCCAGUUUUUAGAAAAAUUCUCUUUCCUCCCACCUCUUUCCUACCUGCAUCACUUAAAAGAUUCUCCAUCCUCAGAAAAGGUGUUGGCACAAGAGAGAAGUUUGCAAGAAAUAAAUAAAUAAUAUU